GUAGUACUUUUUCCGUCCAACAAAAGAUGUCUCAACUUUGAUUAAAUUUGAAUGCAUUUAGACACUAGGUUAUGUCUGGAUACAUCAAAUUUUGACAAAUUUGAGACAUCUUUUGUUAAACGGAGGGAGUACUAG
rfam:Brachypodium distachyon strain Bd21 chromosome 1, whole genome shotgun sequence.